UGGAUUCCAUUCCGUCUUCCUUGAGGGCCCCACCCUCAUCCCGGCACGUGAUGACGUAGGACGUAAGGACGCCCCCCCCCGCCGGUAGCCAUCUUCGUGCAUAGGCAAACUUAUUGUAGCUAGACUGUACAAAGUAUAUCAAGAUAUGCCAAAUAUUGAGCUUAACUUCACCUGUUUGAGAGACGGUGUUUCUUUUAGCUUGCAACACCAUGAAAAAAUUACUGAGACACUAGGAAUGCUGUGAACUGAGAAAGUUUGGGACCUUUGGCAUAACUAAAUCCUUCAUUUAACAGUGUUGUGAACCACUUGUCAUGGGAUAACCAAAAUUAAACCUGGAAUCGCAGAAGAAACAAAUUUUUUGAAGAAAUUGGAUGUACUUUUUUAAAAUUUUUCAUUCAACUAAAACUUUGUUAACUGUUUCUUGGUUGUGGUCUUCUCUAAAUUGUAAUCUUUGGCAUUCACUUCCAAAGUAUCCACCACUAAACUUCAUAACAUUUAUUGUGUCUCUUCAUCAUUAAACUUUGAUGAAUUUACAGAGUGUCUUUUGAAAUUAUGUUCUUGAGAAAGCCAGGGGAUUGGACGGUGUCAUGGAAAUGUCAAAGAAAAAGUGACACCUGAGAGAAAAUUUGAAAGAUGAAAGUGCUGUUAAUACGGAAACUGGUCUAAUAUGGAAAACAGGUGAACAUGGAGCUGCUUUGUUUGACUCAGGGAUGAGAGAUACCCAGGUCCUAAUUACUUGUCUUUAACUUUCCUUAGGGAGUACUAAUUUGGGAGUCAUUGUUCUAAACAAUUAAAGUGAAGUAACUGUC
rnacentral:lncRNA from 1 species